rnacentral:rRNA from 1 species
GAUGAACGCUGGCGGCGUGCCUAAUACAUGCAAGUCGAGCGGACGGACGAGAAGCUUGCUUCUCUGAUGUUAGCGGCGGACGGGUGAGUAACACGUGGAUACCCUACCUAUCAGACUGGGAUAACUACGGGAAACCGUAGCUUAUAGCGGAUAAUCUUUUGCACCGCGUGGUUCAAAAGUGAAAGACGGUCUUGCUGUCACUUAUAGCUGGAUCUGGGCUGCAUUAGCUAGUUGGUAAGGUAACGGCUUAGCAAGGCAACGAUGCAUAGCCGACCGGAGAGGGGGAUCGGCGACACUGGAGCGGAGACGCGGUCCAGGCGCCUGCGGUAGGCAGCAGUAGGGAAUCGUCGGCAAUGGGCGAAAGUCUGACGGAGCAACGCCGAGUGAGUGAUGGAGGUCUUCGGAGCGUAAAACUCGGUUAUGGGUGAAGAACAUAUGUGUAAGUAACUGAGCACAGCGUGACGGUACCUAAUCAGAAAGCCACGGCUAACUACGUG